UUACAAGAUGGCAAGUUCAAGAAAAGAGGGACUGACUAAUUAAAUGAGUCAGCCUUAAAAGGAAGCAGAGUGAAGUAAAAUAUGUGUGACAAGCGUGGUGAUUCACACGUCGUCGUCAGGACUUUCACAAAUGAGAAGGGGCCCAGGCAAUGUCAGGGCAGCAGUUUUCAAUGUCUGCCAGUCACGGUCUGGUGAGAAAUUUUGGAAUCUUUUACUAAUGCAGGAUUGCCACAAAGCUUACCUAAAGACAGAAUGCACACCUGCCUGCCUUUCCACACCUGAAGUGACUCUUCAUCUCCAAGUAUAGCAACUCCAAGCAAACAAUCCAUUCACCAUCGAACGCAACCUCACCUGAUCUCGAGUACAGACCGGCUUUGGAAAGUAGCACCUGAAGUGCUGUCAGAAGUGCAUGCAGAGUCCCCUGGCUGUUGAAGAGGACGCCUUCACAGAGUAGGAAACCGUCUGCUUCCUUUCCCUCUUGUAUCUGCCUAUGUCUUGCUUUCCCUCUGUGGGGUCUACCUUCUUUCUGAAGUCAGGAUCUCUGACUUCCCCGGGCUUGCCCUUCAUUAACUAUGGCCCUUUGGGUGGAUACUGUUCAGCACACAGACCACCUCACAAGGGGAUCAGUACAUCUGGGAGUCAGGCACCCAUCAGAUCAGUGAAAGAAUAAGAUCUUUCCACUGGAAUCUCUAUACCCUACUCUGGAGGCAGCCAUUACAUACACAUUCAUUCAUGUGUACACACACACAUAUACACUCCAUCUAUGUACUCACACAUCUUCAUAUGAACAUGCAUGCUCAGAUAUGUACUUCCAAAUAGGCACAUACAUAUUCACACACUCAUGCACAUGAUACACACAUUCUAGACAGAAGAACUUUAGCUGAAUCACUUUUGCCACAUGUCUGAUUAACACAAAUCCAGACAACCAACAAAAUGACUUCCCUGUUGUCGCCCAAAUCCUGAGCUUAGGAAGGCAGAGAAAAGCAAGACUCUGCUCCAGCUAAGGGUUAACCUGAUGCAGUAGCCCUACACAGGCUGUGACUUGAUCCUGGGUGCAAAGGAGAUGCAGUGGCCAUUUGGGGAAGUUAGAAAAACCACUGUGCAUUAAUGUCAAGUUUCUGGAUUUGAACAAUGUGGAUGGCUUCAUCAGAGAAGGUCCUUGUCUUCAGUGUUUCUGGAAGAUGCCACAGUUACAGACUUGUUUCUGCAGAGUACUUCCCGUGGGGCACAGAGAUUCAUCAGUGCUCAGUAAUAACAAGAGUGGAAGGAAACAAAUAUUGCAUAAGUUACUCCUCGAUUUUCCUCACCUCCAAAUUCUCUUACUCUCCAUGACGUAAAUGUCUCUAUCUUUAUGGCACAGAUAUGAAGCCAACUCAAGUUCACUGAUGUCACUAACAGUGAUUAGAACUAAGGUUUGAAGUUGCUUUCUUGGCCUUCCAUGGCCUCAGGCAAUCACUACACAGACUUCUACCAUCAUUCAUAUCCACAGCUAUUUCAGCAUUGUGCAAUGGGAUGAUAUUUUUACUUCAGUCAGCUUUCCUCAUAGUAGGGGACAACUGGUAGAAAGCCUCAGAUACUCCUAUACUCAUAGUAGGCUUGUCACACAAAUAUCAGACUUCUGAAAAGGGACAAAGGGUGAUGCUGGAGAUGAAUCCUCCUGCUGAAAGUGUGGGUGACCAGUAACCUCCAUAAUAUCACCACCCCAGCUUCACUCCCUACCCCCAGAACUAGGUCCCAUUCCAACCCUGCAGAACUGGAACCACAUUUGUCAACUUAAGUCAAAUAUCUCAGUGUGUGGGAAAAAGAAAAGAACUUGAUUAAGAUUUUUCAGAACUGCAGUUACACUGGACCAGGAGAAAAACGCCAAGGUAGGAUACACUGAUGGCUUUUCUCAACCUGGUUUGUGGCCCAGGUCUGUUUAUAAGCUACAGAGGGGAAAUCUGCAUGAGAGAAGUUUAUAUCACAUCAACAAUUUAAAGUAACUAGACUCUUGUCUGUGAUGGCAUAUGCUAACAUCUCUGUGGAAUGGUACAAGAAUGUCUCCUGAGUGGCGCACAUUAUCAUACACAUUGUCUCUUUAGAACAAAAGACCUGUGUAGGCCAGGUGAUGGUGCAUCUGGUUAAGUGCACACAUUAAAGUGCACAAGGACCUGGGUUCAAGUCCCCCAUUCCCACUUGCAGGAGGGAGAAACUUCACAAGUGGUGAAGCAGGUCUGCAGGUGUCUCUCUUUCUCUCUAAAGUUCUGUCUGUCCUAUCAAAUAAAAUAAAUAAAGAUUAAAAAUAAGGGGAUUGGGUGGUGGCACACUGGGUUAAGUGCAUGUAGUACAAAGUACAAGGUUCCCAGUUCGAGCCCCCACCUCCCCACCUGCAGGGGGGUCACUUCAUAAGUGGUAAAGCAGGUCUGCAGGAGUCUAUCUUUCUCUCUCCCUCUCUGUCUUUCCCUCCCCUCUUGAUUUCUCUCUGUUUUAUCCAAUAAAAUGGGGGGAGGCAUCUAGGAGGAGUGGAUUCUAGUGCAGGCACCAAGCCCAAAAAAAUAACCCUGGGGGAAAAAAAAAAGAAGAAACUUUUUAAAAAAUAAAUUACAAGAGACAUACUAAGUGAGAAGAAACGCAAAAUCAGAGGCAAAGGUUUGGUCCAGAAUUUUAUACUUAGGUAGAAGAAAGUUCCUGGGCUUUUGUGAUUUCUCUUUGGAACAGAGAACUAAAAUCUAGAUAGCAGAGGGGAGUAACAUUCCAGGUUACAAUGGCUAAAACCCAAAAGAAAUGUUCUUCUGACUGAACCCCAAACUCCUGCAGAUUUAUCCUCCUUUCCCCAAUCUUAAUCCACACACUUCAACAAGACUGAAGAGUGAGUGGGGAGCAUCCAAAGUCUUCAGUUUCAGGGCCCCUAAUUCCCCUCCCCAGGAGGAGGGUAUUUCUCAACGGAUCCUGAGGGAGUUUUUUUUUUGGGGGGGCGGUUGGGCUUUUCUAAUUUGCUUUCUCUGCAAAUAGCUUUCUCUACUAUUUCUAUGGCGGUGCUGUAAUUUGUGGUAACAUGUGGCUCUCUGUUACUCAGAAGCUAUCUUCUAGACUCUCCACAGAUCCUAUCAAGACUCUGCCCCCUUCAUCAUAAUUUGCUGGAUCCUCCUUACCCUGAUUACUACAGAAAAAAAAAAAAAAGAAAGGUCCAGAGACUGAUAAUUCCUAUCUGGGUGAGGUAUCCUGGGUUCUCCUCAAUGGUAGCCUGGCAGGUGAUUCAGAAGUGGGUGAGCUAUGUCUUAGCCAGAACUCCCCUAGGAAUUCCUUCUCUGACUAGGUUUCUGACCUCUACGUCUUCUGUGCAAUAAACUUAAUCCAAACAAAUCUUCGAAUGCUGGAAAGAAUCAGAUAACACACAACAAAAUAUCAGACAUAUACUUGAAAUAGAUGGUGGUCAGCAUAUUUGGGAAAUUUUAUUAUUUUUUUUCUUACUAUACUUACUGGGUAAAGACAGAAAAUAAGAGAGAAGAGGAGAUAUAAUGGAAGAAAGAGAGACCUGCAGCACUACUUAACUGUUCAUGAAGUUUCCCUCUAUGGGUGAGGACUUAGGGCUUGAACCUAUAAUUAGUGUUUUGAUGGGUAUGCCACUGCCUGGCCCCCUGUAUUUGGUUUUGAACUAGCUCAGAGAACCUGGGAAAAUUCUGGUGGUCAUUUAAAAUUAUUCACACAACUGCAUAGAAAUGUCAAUAUCCCCAGUGCAAUAUAUUUAUCUGAUGUUUUUAUGUGUUUCUUAGGAACAGUUACAAAUCAAAGGCAUAUUGGGUUAGGAAAGACCUGUAGAGCCCAUGUGGAUGUAAGAGCUGUAGGGCCCAUGUGGAUGUCUUUGAGUAUAAAGCAACUGAAUGUCCUUCCACUGAAUGAAGGUGCCUCUUGUAAAGGUAGAAACCCAAAAGGAGGAUUGCUGGCUUGCAAACUAACUCUAUCAUGAGCUUCAGGAGAACACGUCACACUGUUUUCCAAAACGCCCAUACCAGUUUACAUUCUCACCAACAUUGUACGAAGGUUCUUCUUUU